GUGAGGUUAAGUUAAUUUUGACUGUAUGUUUUCAAAACAUUUAGGGACUUGUUUGGGUCAUCUUGCG
rnacentral:tRNA from 1 species